rnacentral:lncRNA from 1 species
UUUCCCUCUCAAAUAUCUAAAAGAAACCCUACUCUGCGACCUCCUCUCAGAACAAUUCAAGUUCAUCACCCCCCCCCCCCCCCAUUUCUCUAUCCCGUCCGAAUUCCUCCACCCCAACCGUGAAUAUCAAGAAUCUUCAGUAAUAGCAGUACGAAUAUGUACUCUCUUCUUGCUUCAUUCUCUAUUUCCUUCUCUUCAUCUACUGCGCAUAAGAAUAACUCCAGGUUAGGAUUUUUCUUUCUUGAUUGAUCGAUCGGAUUCGAAUUGUUCCUUCUUUCUGGUGAGUAUUUUGAUUUCUCGGAGGAAUUCAAUCAUGUUUAUUUAUUGCAUUUUCUGGUUCCCUAUGUAUUCGCAGCAGAAGAAUUGAGAGUUUGAGUUUUUGAAGCCUAAUCUAUGUUGUGAUUUUGUUUUGGGUUGGUGAUAUGGAGAUAGGUUUGUUUGAAUGGAAGCUGUGGGGGGGGGGGGGUGUUAUUACAAAAUAAAGUAAUGUUGAUAUCACAUUCACAAAUUAUGCCUUACAACUGUUUGACAAAAUGCCCGAUAAGCAUCUUAAACACUAUGACCUUCCCUAUUGUUUAUUCAUUUCCAAAUAUGAACAAAAUUAAUUAAAUUUCCUCAAUUCUUGUCUGAUUCAAUUGUCUGCAGGUCAGCAACUUAGAUGUGUGCUGGUUUUCAGUCACCAGGUAUUUGUUUCUUGUACACUUAACAAAAUACUUAGUUGCAUGAUCCUAGUAAGCAGUCAUUAGAUGUGAAUGAAAAUAUUAUCCUGUGUGGCAGGAGAAUGCUUGUAAGUAAUUUUCACAUCCAUAUGUAUCAUUAGCUUUAUAUACUAAGGGCCUGUUUAGUUAGUAUAGUAUGGUAGUUAACUCUUGGCUUUCGAAGGAGAAAUGCCAUAAUAAUAAGCGUGCUAUUAACUUGUCUAAAUAUAGGGUUCUAUUUACCCUGUAAUUAUUUCGUCCCUACGAAAAUUAUGCAAUCAGUCGAACGUGUUUAGAAUUUACUAGGUUGAAAUAUACUGAUGGCUAUGCUGGUUGAUUUGGUGAAGAAUGAGGUUGCACAAAUCUACUGGCCUUUGUGUGUGUGAUAUGGAGUUGCAGUGAGAAAGUCCACAGUGUGGCAACUUAUGGUAAUGUCCUUGUAUAUUUGAUGGCCAAACAACAUCUUUCUUUAUUAAAGUUAUGUGUUUUUUACUAAGGCAUUUUUUCUUUGAUGGCAGAUAACAAUACUUCAAUUGGUUGUCUUAUAAGGAUAAGGAUACUCGUAAAAAUAGCUGCACUGUAUAAAUUCAUUUUAUUAAAUUAUUCUUGCAUGUAGAUUAUGCAAUCUUAUUUUUACUUUCAAUGACCUGUGUAGUUAUUUCCCAUUUUAUGAAAAUAUAGGUUAACUACCUCAGAGAACCUUGUUGUCUCAAUUCAAUAGAGUAUCGAAUGGGCGGAUGCACAAGGGAAUUGGAACUGACGGAAUGUAGCACAAAAAAGUGAAAGAAAGAGUUGAGGAAGUGAAGAAAUCUGUUGUUGCAGAAUUUGUUAUAGUUUGCUCAAAUCCAUCCGAAUAGUUUGAUUUAAUAUUAUUUAAUUGUAAUGAUGUACAGCUAUUCAUAAAUACAUUCUUGUAAUUAAUUAUAGACAACUUCUAUUUACUACAGUUCAAAUUGUCUAUGUUGAAUGAUACUUAUA